UACGUAGGGUGCAGGCGUUUAAUCGGAAUUACUGGGCGUAAAGCGUGCGCAGGCGGCUCCUUAAGUCAGAUGUGAAAGCCCCGGGCUUAACCUGGGAACUGCGUUUGAAACUGGGGAGCUUGAGUGUGGAAGAGGGGGGUGGAAUUCCAGGUGUAGCAGUGAAAUGCGUAGAGAUCUGGAGGAACACCGAUGGCGAAGGCAGCCCCCUGGGCUAACACUGACGCUCAUGCACGAAAGCGUGGGGAGCAAACAGG
rnacentral:rRNA from 1 species